rnacentral:rRNA from 1 species
CCUACGGGGCGCACCAGGCGCGCAAACUCUCCAAUGUGCGAAAGCGUGAGAGGGGAAUUCCUAGUGCUUACGGUUUAUCCGUAGGCUUUUGCCAUGUGUAAAUAGCAUGGCGAAUAAGUGGUGGGUAAGACUGGUGCCAGCCGCCGCGGUAACACCAGCGCCACGAGUGGCCAUCACGAUUAUUGGGCCUAAAGCGUUCGUAGUCGGUUUAGUGCAUCCUCUGUGAAAUCGCAGCGCUUAACGUUGCGGCAUGCGGAGGACACGACUGAACUUGAGACCGGGAGGCGUCGAGGGUAUUCCAAGGGGACCGGUAAAAUGGUAUAAUCCUUGGAGGACCACCUGUGGCGAAGGCGCUCGACGAGAACGGAUCUGACGAUGAGGAACGAAAGCCAGGGGAGCAAACCGGAUUAGAUACCCACGUAGUCC